UGGGGAAUUCUGGACAAUGGGCGCAAGCCUGAUCCAGCAAUGCCGCGUGCAGGAUGAAGGCCUUCGGGUUGUAAACUGCUUUUGUACGGAGCGAAAAGGUCUGCCCUAAUACGGUGGGCUCAUGACGGUACCGUAAGAAUAAGCACCGGCUAACUACGUGCCAGCAGCCGCGGUAAUACGUAGGGUGCGAGCGUUAAUCGGAAUUACUGGGCGUAAAGCGUGCGCAGGCGGUUAUAUAAGACAGAUGUGAAAUCCCCGGGCUCAACCUGGGACCUGCAUUUGUGACUGUAUAGCUAGAGUACGGUAGAGGGGGAUGGAAUUCCGCGUGUAGCAGUGAAAUGCGUAGAUAUGCGGAGGAACACCGGUGGCGAAGGCAAUCCCCUGGACCUGUACUGACGCUCAUGCACGAAAGCGUGGGGAGCAAACA
rnacentral:rRNA from 1 species